rnacentral:rRNA from 1 species
AUUGAACGCUGGCGGCAUGCCUUACACAUGCAAGUCGAACGGCAGCACGGGAGCAAUCCUGGUGGCGAGUGGCGAACGGGUGAGUAAUAUAUCGGAACGUGCCCAGUAGUGGGGGAUAGCCCGGCGAAAGCCGGAUUAAUACCGCAUACGACCUGAGGGUGAAAGCGGGGGAUCGCAAGACCUCGCGCUAUUGGAGCGGCCGAUAUCAGAUUAGCUAGUUGGUGGGGUAAAGGCCCACCAAGGCAACGAUCUGUAGUUGGUCUGAGAGGACGACCAGCCACAAUGGGACUGAGACACGGCCCAGACUCCUACGGGAGGCAGCAGUGGGGAAUUUUGGACAAUGGGCGCAAGCCUGAUCCAGCAAUGCCGCGUGCAGGAAGAAGGCCUUCGGGUUGUAAACUGCUUUUGUCAGGGAAGAAAUCUUCUGGGCUAAUACCCUGGGAGGAUGACGGUACCUGAAGAAUAAGCACCGGCUAACUACGUGCCAGCCGCCGCGGUAACAC